rnacentral:rRNA from 1 species
UGAUGAGUUGCGAACGGGUGAGUAACGCGUAGGUAACCUGCCUCAUAGCGGGGGAUAACUAUUGGAAACGAUAGCUAAUACCGCAUAAGAGUAAUUAACACAUGUUAGUUAUUUAAAAGGAGCAAUUGCUUCACUGUGAGAUGGACCUGCGUUGUAUUAGCUAGUUGGUGAGGUAAAGGCUCACCAAGGCGACGAUACAUAGCCGACCUGAGAGGGUGAUCGGCCACAUUGGGACUGAGACACGGCCCAAACUCCUACGGGAGGCAGCAGUAGGGAAUCUUCGGCAAUGGACGAAAGUCUGACCGAGCAACGCCGCGUGAGUGAAGAAGGUUUUCGGAUCGUAAAACUCUGUUGUUAGAGAAGAACGUCAGUGAGAGUGGAAAGUUCACUGAGUGACGGUAUCUAACCAGAAAGGGACGGCUAACUACGUGCCAGCAGCCGCGGUAAUACGUAGGUCCCGAGCGUUGUCCGGAUUUAUUGGGCGUAAAGCGAGCGCAGGUGGUUUAAUAAGUCUGAUGUAAAAGGCAGUGGCUCAACCAUUGUGUGCAUUGGAAACUGUUAGACUUGAGUGCAGUAGAGGAGAGUGGAAUUCCAUGUGUAGCGGUGAAAUGCGUAGAUAUAUGGAGGAACACCGGUGGCGAAAGCGGCUCUCUGGACUGUAACUGACACUGAGGCUCGAAAGCGUGGGUAGCAAACA